CAUCGGUGACAGGUGGUGGCAUGGUUGUCGUCAGCUCGUGUCGUGAGAUGUUGGGUUAAGUCCCGCAACGAGCGCAACCCCUAUUGUUAGUUGCCAUCAUUCAGUUGGGCACUCUAGCGAGACUGCCGGUAAUAAACCGGAGGAAGGUGGGGAUGACGUCAAAUCAUCAUGCCCCUUAUGACCUGGGCUACACACGUGCUACAAUGGUUGGUACAACGAGUUGCGAGUUGGUGACGGCGAGCUAAUCUCUUAAAGCCAAUCUCAGUUCGGAUUGUAGGCUGCAACUCGCCUACAUGAAGUCGGAAUCGCUAGUAAUCGCGGAUCAGCACGCCGCGGUGAAUACGUUCCCGGGCCUU
rnacentral:rRNA from 1 species